rnacentral:rRNA from 1 species
UGGGGAAUUUUGCACAAUGGGGGAAACCCUGAUGCAGCGACGCCGCGUGAUUUAGAAGGCCUUCGGGUUGUAAAAAUCUUUUGUAUGGGAAGAAAAUGACAGUACCAUACGAAUAAGGACCGGCUAAUUACGUGCCAGCAGCCGCGGUAAUACGUAAGGUCCGAGCGUUGUCCGGAAUCAUUGGGCGUAAAGGGUACGUAGGCGGAUAAGCAAGUUAGAAGUGAAAUCCUGUAGCUCAACUAUAGUAAGCUUUUAAAACUGCUCAUCUUGAGGUAUGGAAGGGAAAGUGGAAUUCCUAGUGGAGCGGUGAAAUGCGCAGAUGAUAGGAGGAAUACCGGUGGCGAAGGCGACUGUCUGGCCAUAUACAGACGCUGAGGUACGAAAGCGUGGGUAGCAAACAGG